CAACCAAGCCUAUUUCGCUGACUUGAUCACAAUUAGAAUCCUUGAAGUUCGAAACUAUAUGUCUCAAAGAUUGUAAAGACUAUUUCGCUGCCUUUACAAUCUUUGUCUAAAUUCACUUGUUCGAAUAUCAAAGCUCCACUUUCGUUUUAUGAAUUGAUAUUUGAGAUGAUGGAUUAACAAUUAUCAAACCCUCCACUUUCGUUUCCACAGUUUGAUAAUGGUUAAUUCAUGUUAAAACAGUGAAUUUAGAUUAGAAAUUAGGGUUACAUAAGAUUAAGGUUUAAAGCUUGGUUUGAUUAGGAUUAUGUCAUUUAGACUUAUCCAACAAUCCCAAGACAAGA
rnacentral:lncRNA from 1 species